CACAGAGAUUGUGCCCCCCCCCCCA
rnacentral:piRNA from 1 species